rnacentral:misc_RNA from 1 species
AGUCUUCAACUGUUGUAGAACUUUAUUUGUAAGCAGCUUCACAUCACAUCCAGGAUUCAGUGGAAAAGAAAAUUCAAUAUUUAUCACAGCAGUUCAAAAUAAAUAUUUUUCACAUAUAGGCAUCUUCAUGCAAGAAAUCCUUCUCCAAAUUCAAUCACAAAUUAGCCUUUACAGAAAGAAAUCAACAUUUUUCACAGCAGUCCAAAAUAAGCUUCAAAA